AUGGUCAGAAUAUCUCAAGUUACCAGUGCAUAUCCAAUGGUCAGCAUGCUUUGGACUUCUCCAUUAAAAGAAACACCUCACCCCUGCCCCAAGUUUGUUUGUGAAGACAACUGUGGUAUAUUUUCACAGAAACCUGACCCCGCAAAAGAAAAGAAGUGUAAACCAUGCUCCAUCAGCCCUGCCCUCAGUGUUUUAAAACAGCCCCUCCAAUGCUUCUUUGAGAUGCACCCUAAAUGGUGUCGUAUUCCAAACAACUGUUCUUAGAGGAGGGAUGAUGUCCUACAAGUGACUAACGGAAUAAACGGUCCUCUCCACCAUACAGAUAUGCAAAUAUUGGAAUCAAAACCUGCCAUCUAUAUAAGGUACUCUGUUGUAUGUCACCCUGUUUUAUUGUGAGCACAGUCUUAUAAGGAAGGCUCUGUCAUAUUCUGAGGGUCAGAGUUACAAGGCUAUUAGAAAAUGCUGUGAGUCACUCCAGAGAACACCGUGUUUCAUUGCAGUUGGGCUGCGAUGAUGCUCUAGGACUAUGUUGACCUUCUUAUGUGAGUGCCAACAGUCUCGCUCACCAAAAAUGGCAGAACUAUGGCUGCACAGGAUGCAAGGAACAAUAAAAUACAGAGCAUUAAAGAAUACUUCAGAGCCAAACACAACACACAGAGGCUGUGACCUAUCAGGUGGCUUCAGUUUUGAUAAUAUUCAGUUUAAAUAUCACUGAAUUUUAUUGUUUUACCCUUGGCCCUGACCCAAGUAUUCAGUCUUGAACUAUGAAUAUCAAAAUAUAAUAUCUAAGUUUAUAAACUAUUUCAAAGUUUACUUUAAAUAUUUGCACAAAUUAUGAUUAUCCCACAGUAACAUUUCCACAACAACAAAUAACUUUUCCUGUAAUAAAGUUUUGUUCAAAACUAAGUAUAAUAAUAAUUUGGCCGAAUUAUGCAAAAAAUGUGCAAAAUAUUGCUUAAUAGUCUGUUAGCUAUGAAAUUUGUCUUAAUGUAGUCAUUAAUAUAAGAAAAGUGUUUUUUUUUUUUCGGUUUUGUCAUUUCCAUAACAAAACCGAACACUAAAUCAGAAGUUGUGGAAAUGACUCAAUAAAAUUUUUCAUAGUGUUUUGAGUAUAUUUAAUGUGUUAAAAAUCAGUUAGUUUAACCUAAUCACAUUUUAAAAUGCCACAAUUGGCAUUUUCAUUCUGAGGACACUGAAUGGGAAUUAAUUGAUUGUGGAAGGAUUUAUGGACUACAGCUAGCUAUUCUUUUGAGCAUAAUACUUCUAACUUUAGAAGCCCAUGGACGUGGAAUGACCACAGCGGUGAUCUGUGUUUAUUUAUGUGUGCGUGAUUAUGUGUGUUGGGGGUUUAAGACAGAGGGAACAGCGUUCCCCUGUGGCAUCCCCCUAAAAGCCUGAUUUACUGCCUGUCUGUUCUGAGCUCAGGACCCCUGGACACACAUACUCACCCACACAAACACACUUACCCAUAUUUUUUUCCCGUUGGGCCUCAUGCCUGCCCUCCAACUUGGUUUAACCCAAUGAGAAAACACAGAAAGGGGUCAGAGGGCCUUUGUUACACUAAGAAACCAAUGGGCAGAGUAAAUAAUAUAUUACACGGCAAGUAGAAGAGAUACCAUUUAAUAUAAAAAAAAAAGGAUUCAUA
ensembl:lncRNA